UGAGUACGAGAUGCUACGGCAUCGAAGCAGUCUAUGUCAUACUUCCAAGAAAAGCUUGCAAUGUCAUAAACAAAUAAUGCCUGUACCAUAACCGACACAGGUGGGUAGGUAGAGUAUACUAAGGGGCGCGAGAUAACUCUCUCUAAGGAACUCGGCAAAAUGACUCCGUAACUUCGGGAGAAGGAGUGCCUUAUUUUUAUAAGGUUGCAAUAACAAGAUCCAAGCAACUGUUUACCAAAAACACAGGUCUCCGCUAAGUCGUAAGACGAUGUAUGGGGGCUGACGCCUGCCCAGUGCCAGAAGGUUAAAGAAGUUGGUUAGCAUUAGCGAAGCUGAUAACUGAAGCCCUGGUGAACGGCGGCCGUAACAAUAACGGUCCUAAGGUAGCGAAAUUCCUUGUCGGGUAAGUUCCGACCCGCACGAAAGGCGUAAUGAUUUGGAUACUGUCUCGGAGAGGGGCUCGGUGAAAUAGACUUGUCUGUGAAGAUGCGGACUACCUGCACCUGGACAGAAAGACCCUAUGAAGCUUUACUGUAACUUGAGAUUGAAAUUGGACUUUAUCUGCGCAGUAUAGGUGGGAGACGUUGAAAAUAUUCUUGCGGGAAUAUUGGAGUCAUCAGUGAGAUACCACUCUUAUAAUGUUAGAUUUCUAACUUUGUAUCAUUAUCUGGUCAAAGAACAGUUUCAGGCGGGCAGUUUGACUGGGGCGGUCGCCUCCCAAACGGUAACGGAGGCGCACAAAGGUUUCCUCUGAACGUGUAGAAAUCGUAUCUAGAGUGUAAAGGCAUAAGGAAGCUUGACUGUGAGACCUACAAGUCGAGCAGGGACGAAAGUCGGUCUUAGUGAUCUGACGGUGCUGAGUGGAAAGGCCGUCACUCAACGGAUAAAAGUUACUCUAAGGAUAACAGGCUGAUCUCCCCCAAGAGUUCACAUCGACGGGGAGGUUUGGCACCUCGAUGUCGGCUCAUCGCAUCCUGCGGCGGUAGUACGUCCCAAGGGUUGGGCUGUUCGCCCAUGAAAGCGGUACGCGAGCUGGGUUCAGAACGUCGUGAGACAGUUCGGUCCAUAUCCGGUGUAGGCGUUAGAAUAUUGAGAGGAGCCUUCUUUAGUACGAGAGGACCGAGAAGGACAUACCUCUGGUGUACCAGUUAUCGUGCCAACGGUAAACGCUGGGUAGCCAUGUAUGGAGAGGAUAACCGCUGAAAGCAUCUAAGUGGGAAGCCCACCUCAAGAUAAG
rnacentral:rRNA from 1 species